AGAGUUUGAUCCUGGCUCAGAGCGAACGCUGGCGGCAGGCUUAACACAUGCAAGUCGAGCGGGCGUAGCAAUACGUCAGCGGCAGACGGGUGAGUAACGCGUGGGAACAUACCUUUUGGUUCGGAACAACACAGGGAAACUUGUGCUAAUACCGGAUAAGCCCUUACGGGGAAAGAUUUAUCGCCGAAAGAUUGGCCCGCGUCUGAUUAGCUAGUUGGUGAGGUAACGGCUCACCAAGGCGACGAUCAGUAGCUGGUCUGAGAGGAUGAUCAGCCACAUUGGGACUGAGACACGGCCCAAACUCCUACGGGAGGCAGCAGUGGGGAAUAUUGGACAAUGGGCGCAAGCCUGAUCCAGCCAUGCCGCGUGAGUGAUGAAGGCCCUAGGGUUGUAAAGCUCUUUUGUGCGGGAAGAUAAUGACGGUACCGCAAGAAUAAGCCCCGGCUAACUUCGUGCCAGCAGCCGCGGUAAUACGAAGGGGGCUAGCGUUGCUCGGAAUCACUGGGCGUAAAGGGUGCGUAGGCGGGUCUUUAAGUCAGGGGUGAAAUCCUGGAGCUCAACUCCAGAACUGCCUUUGAUACUGAGGAUCUUGAGUUCGGGAGAGGUGAGUGGAACUGCGAGUGUAGAGGUGAAAUUCGUAGAUAUUCGCAAGAACACCAGUGGCGAAGGCGGCUCACUGGCCCGAUACUGACGCUGAGGCACGAAAGCGUGGGGAGCAAACAGGAUUAGAUACCCCCGUAGUCC
rnacentral:rRNA from 1 species